rnacentral:rRNA from 1 species
UACGGAGGGUGCGAGCGUUGUCCGGAAUCACUGGGCGUAAAGGGCGCGUAGGCGGCCCGGUAAGUAGAGGGUGAAAUCUUGCGGCUCAACCGCAAGGCUGCCUUCUAAACUGCCAGGCUCGAGCACAGUAGAGGCAGGUGGAAUUCCCGGUGUAGCGGUGGAAUGCGUAGAGAUCGGGAGGAACACCAGUGGCGAAGGCGAGUCUCUGGGCUGAUACUGACGCUGAGGCGCGAAAGCCAGGGGAGCAAACGGG